rnacentral:snoRNA from 3 species
UUGCCGGUGAUGAAAUCAGUUAUAAAACACACCAUCUUUCGGGACUGAUUGGCUUAUUUAUAAGCCGUGCUGACUUUCUGCAAUUCUGAGGCAU